GUUACAGCAGCGGCAGGAUGGGCGGUGGGGAAACCUGGGGCCAAGAGUGCUCCUUGCGGGACCAUGACAGCGGCUCAUGCCCCUAGGGAUAAAUGCCGUCCCUGGCAGUACCCGGUCCUGAAACACAGAUGCGAGGAGACUGCUAGAGCAGCGUCUGUGCACAGUCGAGAAUUAUAAAGACACAACUGAGUCAUGGAAAAAACCCUUCCGCUAAGAGGUUAAGUUAAAAGAAUUUCAAGGACUACGAAGCUGAAUGCCAGAAGUAGUGAAGUAGUGCCAGAUUUAAGCUUCAGUUUAAAAUUUUACAUUCUCUUCAUUCAUCAUGAGGCAACUCCAAGCAGCCAAUCUUGAGAGCAGGAAACAUCCUUUGGACAACACUGAAGAUGUCCUCAUUGUUAAAGGGAAGCUCUGCACAUAUACUGAAGGAUCAGGAGCUAAAUAUAAAAGCCAUUGCCACGAGACCCCGAG